CCACGGACUCGAACCGGGUACUAUAGCUAAUGAGUCAACCUAUAUGGGCUGGACCACGGACUCGAACCGGGUGCUGUAGCCAAAGGUCGGGCACGGGUGGGCUGGACCACGGACUCUAACCGGGUACUGUAGCUAAGCCUGGACAUAAGUAAGCUGGACCACGGACUCUAACCGGGUGCUGUAGCUAAGAAUCAAUAUCCAACCAUACGUCGCGGGAAAUAUCACCAAACCGAUUACCAUAAAUAAUCAUUUCAGUCCGAUCCUCAUAUACCCCAAGUCGCCGAGGAAGUAUCCAAUAAUGAGUAAGCUAGACCACAGACUUUAACCUGGUACUGUAGCCGAUAGAAAAUCAGGGCAUUAUGGAUACAAGGUCAUAAGCUGAGUUACCGCCUAGCUAAGGCUCAGACUAUCAGACUCAAGUCUGCUAUAUCAGUCUACAAGGAGCUGAGCGUCCGAAACGACGUCGGAA